rnacentral:rRNA from 1 species
UGGGGAAUUUUGGACAAUGGGCGCAAGCCUGAUCCAGCCAUGCCGCGUGUCCGAAGAAGGCCUUCGGGUUGUAAAGGACUUUUGUCAGGGAAGAAAAGGGCGGGGUUAAUACCCCUGUCUGAUGACGGUACCUGAAGAAUAAGCACCGGCUAACUACGUGCCAGCAGCCGCGGUAAUACGUAGGGUGCGAGCGUUAAUCGGAAUUACUGUGCGUAAAGCGGGCGCAGACGGUUACUUAAGCAGGAUGUGAAAUCCCCGGGCUCAACCUGGGAACUGCGUUCUGAACUGGGUGACUAGAGUGUGUCAGAGGGAGGUAGAAUUCCACGUGUAGCAGUGAAAUGCGUAGAGAUGUGGAGGAAUACCGAUGGCGAAGGCAGCCUCCUGGGAUAACACUGACGUUCAUGCCCGAAAGCGUGGGUAGCAAACA